rnacentral:rRNA from 1 species
UACGUAGGGCGCGAGCGUUGUCCGGAAUUAUUGGGCGUAAAGGGCUCGUAGGCGGUUUGUCGCGUCGGGAGUGAAAACACGGGGCUUAACCCCGUGCCUGCUUCCGAUACGGGCAGACUAGAGGUAUGCAGGGGAGAACGGAAUUCCUGGUGUAGCGGUGAAGUGCGCAGAUAUCAGGAGGAACACCGGUGGCGAAGGCGGUUCUCUGGGCAUUACCUGACGCUGAGGAGCGAAAGUGUGGGGAGCGAACAGG